AUCUGUAACGUGUACACGUAUACGACAUAUAUACGACAAUAUGAUUGUAUUAUGAUAUGCAUAAAUGAAUGCUGACCAUGGAAGUUAUGUCCAUGACACUCACACGUACGAGUAUGUAACCUAAAAAUCAUGUUAUGUAAACGUUUGUAACGUUCUUGUGAUACCAAAUAAACUGCUAAUCCACCAAAAAGGAUUAACAUAAGUCCGAUUACAUUAAUUAAUAUUGCUUCGUCUACAAGAGCAAAAAAUGCUUUUUCAUUGAGGCCUAAAAGACAGGAAGCAAUUACACCAAUGAAUCCUGCGAUUCCAAAGUAUACAUGAAUUGGCAUGUAGGAAGCCCGUAAUGGAAGUUGUAAUCCCGGAUACAGGAAAGAUAGAAAUCCAGCAAGCCACUAAAAUAUUAAAGUAUAUGUAUUUCACGAUUAUUGAACGAUCAUAUAUGGAUAAAAAUAAAUAAAGAGUUAAUGACAUUUA